UGGGGCGUCGCCAAGUGGUAAGGCACUGGAUUUUGAUUCCAGCAUUCGAAGGUUCGAUCCCUUCCGCCCCAG
rnacentral:tRNA from 1 species